GGGGCUGAUGGGAGAUCUGAGGCCUCUGAUAGAAACCACGUGUUCCUCGUCUGAUCUCUCAGCUCGUCCUUGUUUGUCCUCUGCAGCGUCACAGCGUCACUUCUCCUCGGGUUCACCAGAGGAAACAUCGCAGCUCCAAAAUGCUUCUCCUCCCAGCCGCCGCCCUGUGCUGCCUGUGUUCAGCGCUGGUUUCCAUGGCAGCCGAGCUUAUUCAGGAUGAUUUAUCAUUGACCAGGAGAGUCGGUGAAGAAGUCUCCUUCAGCUGUGGAGGAACUAAUCUGUGUUACAAUAACUACGUAUUCUGGUACCAAAAGAAAGACACUGAAACAUUCAGAGGGAUUCUUGAUAUUGACAAGAGUAAUGGAGCUUUAGAUAAACGCUACAAUCAUCCACAGAAAGAUGAUUUCUCAGCUGUGAAA